rnacentral:snoRNA from 1 species
AUUCCAUGAUGGAGACAUUCUAGGAUGUAGUCUUGGAAGCGUUCCAUGCUUCUGGAACGGAUUCAUCAUGUUGUUGCUGAAAACUUGUAAUCUUCCCACGGAGAGC